rnacentral:lncRNA from 1 species
CUUAGGUUUGCUAUAGAUAUCGUUUAUUUGGGUUACAUCUUUCAUGUUUUGAUUAAGGGGUUUUCAUGUUUUAAUGUCUGAUUGGCUUACUAAAUUGGGAGUCCAACUCAACUAUAGUGUGUAAUUACUGGACUGUAGUCACGUGCAGUGAAGAUGGGUCACGUGUCAUUGGUUUCCAGCUUCCCGGAGUUGGGUUUCACGGCUAGCUUCCAGCAAACAUCAUUAGCAAACUCUUAGUCUUAGCUUUGCAGAACUUGAGCUUCAUAUCUAAUGCUAUAUUGAGAGUCUGGAGGGAGAGGGGGGAUGAGAAGAGAUGGGAGACAGAGACGGAGAAAUCCCCGGCUUCGAUACGGUGGACGCGCUGCACAUGGCUCCCCAGCGUCGACAUGACAGACGGGUCCGCCGUACAUGGUGGUGGGGUUAUGUCGGGUAACCGCAACGGCAGUCAAUAGUGACGACGGUUACAGUAUGACCGUUUUGAGCAACGAUGGUGAUCACAGUAGUGGCAAGGGGGGGUGACGAAGAUGGCUUCAAGAAGCUCCAGUGAAGGAUUCAAGCUUGCAUGUUCCGUUUUCGAGUAGAUCUGAGAACGAUUCGCUUGCAUAUGUGCUUUUCUGAUUAUUAAGGUAAAACACAUCUAUUUUCAGAUUAUACGACCCGAUCUGACUGUACUUUAAAAAAAGUCUCGGGGGCUCACCGACCAAAAAGAUUAUUGAUAAGUAUGUGAAGUCGAGUUGCUCAAAAUAAUCUACUUACAGAAAAGUCCGAAAUAAAAAAUAGGCUGGUGAGGAAGUCGGGGAUGAAAUAUGAAAGCAGGUAGUUGAAAUCCCCAAAGUGAGAUGAAAUCUCAGGCUGGGUGAAGGCGGUGACGGUGGCGGUGGCAGUAGUGGUGAGCGUGGUGGUGGUU